ensembl:lncRNA
GCAGCUCUCAGUGAUAUGUGUCGGGUCCCCGCUAUAAUAGCAGCAACAUUCACAAAUGUUUACAGAACAAGCGGGAACCCAGCGUGCCUGUAGCUUUCUAUAUUUCAGUUUUUAUCACGUGAUAGAAAGUCUAAGGUCUUUUUCAAGCUCAAGGGCAAACUCAUCGAAUCUGCGACCUAUAAUGCAUCAAACUAAGAUUGAUAUAAAGACACAAAAGUACUGCCAUCAAGUUGGCAUUUUUAAACAUUCGCUCACUAAAAAAUAAAUCAUUUCUAAUCAAUGACUUUAUAACCACAAACAAUCUGGAUUUUAUGUUUCUAAAUGAAACAUGGCUAGAAGACAGCUGCAGUGCAACAGUCCUCAAUGAAGCAGCCCCUCCUAACUUUACUUUCAUGAGUGUCUGCAGGACUGUUAGGAGAGGUGGAGGUGUAGCUGCUCUAUUUAAAGAUGUCUAUCAAUGCAAGCAAAUGUCAUUUGGUCAGUACUUGUCUUUUGAAUAUCUAGGGAUUGUGCUGAAAGGUGAAUGCAUACCUUGACUCAAGGGGACAAACAACUAAAAAUCAAGUCAGGAAUCUUGGUGUGAUUCUGGAGACAGACCUUAGUUUCAGUAGUCAUGUCAAAGCAGUAACUAAAUCAGCAUACUAUCAUCUAAAAAACAUUGCAAGAAUUAGAUGUUUUGUUUCCAGUCAAGACUUAGAGAAACUUGUUCAUGCCUUUAUCACCAGCAGGGUGGACUAUUGUAAUGGUCUCCCUCACCGGCCUUCCCAAAAAGACCAUUAGACAGCUGCAGCUCAUCCAGAACGCUGCUGCCAGCAUUCUGACUAGAACCAGAAAAUCUGAGCAUAUCACACCAGUCCUCAGGUCCUUACACUGGCUUCCAGUUACAUUUAGGAUUGAUUUUAAAGUACUUUUUACUCGUUUAUAAAUCACUCAAUGACCUAGGACCAAAAUAUAUUGCAGAUAUGUUCACUGAAUAUAAACCUAACAGACCACUCAGAUCAUUAGGAUCGAGUCAGUUAGAAAUACCAAGGGUUCACACAAAACAAGGGGAGUCCGCCUUUAGUUACUAUGCCGCCCGCAGUUGGAAUCAGCUUCCAGAAGAGAUCAGAUGUGCUAAAACAUUAGUCACAUUUAAAUCUAGACUCAAAACUCAUCUGUUUAGCUGUGCAUUUGUUGAAUGAGCAAUGUGCGAUGUCCGAAUUGAUUGCACUGUAUUUUACAUAUUCACUAUAUUCUAUGUAAAAUCAUUUUUCUAUUUUUUUAAAAUUGCCUGUUUUAUGUUUUUAAAAUUGCUUGUUUUAUUUUUGUUAUUAUUUUUCUUCAUGAUUAUUUUACCUUCUUUUAUGUAAAGCACUUUGAAUUACCAUUGUGUACGAAAUGUGCUAUAUAAAUAAACUUGCCUUGCCUUGCCUUGCCUAAGAAAACUUAUGUCAAAGAAAAAAAUCUCACAGAUUUUGACUGAAAAACUUUUAUAAGGAUGAAUCUAUAUUUAAUCUAUACAGUGAAACUGCAAUGUUAUUUUCACUUGAUUACUACGUUUCUGUACCUGAAAAUUUAUUUUAGAUCUGCUUGAAAAACCUGAAAAGCACUGUUUAUUUAAUUUGUCUUUGUUAUAUUGUAUUUAUUUUCUGCUAUUGCUUGUAAGUUGGUUAUCUGUAGAAAAGUUUUUAGUAUUGAGCCCAUAGUAGCAAAAAAAAGCCUUAAAGUUUUAACAGCUUUUUAUUUAUUUUAAUUUAUUUUUUCUACAUUAAUGUUUUUUUUUUCUUUUUUUUUUUCUAAAAGAGUACUUCAUUUGUGUUGUUUCCUAAUGAGGAUUUACAUUAUUUUACACAUUGUGUAUUUUAUCACAGAAGCCUGAAAGACUGUCUUGACUGUUGUCAUAUCUUAAGAUUACUGAUUUUCGGAGUGCCUUAUCAGCAUUAUACAUAUACUAUUGAACUAUAUUACAGUGAGACGGGCUGUGCUAGGUUUUUGUAUUAAUAUUUUAUUUUUGUUUGCAACUUGACUACAAUUUAAUUUUGUUAUGAAUAACCUCACUUAUUAAAAAUCACCUUUUUUCUAGCCAUGCCAUUUUACAGCAUCUUUACAGCAUUUAAGCUCUCUAAAGGUCAAGUAAUUAGCAUGAAGAGUCAAAUGUGUUUAUCAUACCACUAUGCUGGAAAAGGCUGUUGAGACAGACUCAGUUUGGAACAUUUUGAUGUCAUCUGGUUUAAUUGGGUUAUAGUUGUUAUAGUGUAUGUCAGCUGCAUGUUUAGUCAGCAAUGUCAAUGCAAUGCUCUGUGAAAACCACUUUUCUCAGCAGUGAAGCAGCUAUUCAGUAGCAGUUCUGUUUUGUUAAAGGGUUAGUUCACCCAAAAAUUAAAAUUAGCCCAUAAAUUACUCACCCUCAAGGCAUCCUAGGUGUAUAUGACUUUCUUCUUUCAGACGAAUCCAGUCAGAGUUAUAUUAAAAAUUGUCUUUGAUCUUUCAAGCUGUUUAAUGACAGUCAGAGGGUGUUGCAGUGCUUCAGUUAAAAAGAAGUGAAAUAAAAAUCGUCCAUCCAUUGAAAAAGUGUCUCACACGGCUCCGGGGGGUAAACAAAGGCCUCCUGUAGCGAAUCGAUGCGUUUUUGUAAGAAAAAUAUCCAUAUUCAAAACGUAAUAAUCACUUUAAUGUAGCUUGCGUCAACAGUUGUACACGGAAGUAGCUCAAGGAGGAUGACGUAUGAGGUCAGUGUUGCACAUGCGCCAUUGAGUCUCGUGAAAACCACCAUUUGUAUACAGGAGCAAAGGAAGCAAAGUUUCCUUACUUUAGCAAAGGAAAACCAGUCUCCUCUUGGCUUAUAUCGAAAUCCUCCGACAUUCUUCUUUACUAAUCCUCUUUUUGUACUUCUAAUUAGUGACCGUUGUUUUGUUUAGAUCUCUCCCCUGUGCUUCCGCGUUCCUCACUUCUGAGCGGUGCAUGCGAAAAGCUGACCUCAUACGUCAUCCUCCCAGAGCUGCUUCCAUGUACAUCAGUGAGCAAAACUAGAUUAAAUUGAUUAUUACGUUUUAAAUAUGGUUAUUUUUCUUACAAAAACACAUUGAUUCGCUACAGGAGGCCUUUGUUCACACCCCGGAGCUGUGUGAGACACUUUUUAUUAUGGAUGGGCGCUUUUUAUUUCACUUCUUUUAGACUGGUGCACUGCAACAUCCGCUGAGUGCCAUGAAACAGCUUGAAAGAUCAAAGACAAUUUUUCAUAUAACUCUUUAAUAUAAUCUCGUCUGUAAGAAGAAAGUCAUAAGCCCCUUUCACACUGCACGUCGGACUCUUUUAGCGGGUGUUUUGAAGGCAGAUCAACGUUUGCAACGAAAAAAUAUGUGCAAACUGUAACGAAGCAGAGAUCAGUUAGUUCCUUACUUUCCACGCUGAAGCUGAGAUCGUUCACCAGCUUAAGUGAAAGUUAACAUGCCUAGCGUUUUCGACUCGUACAUUACACAUCACUCCCUGAUAUCACGUGUCUUUACGGGACCUUUACGGGUUGUGUGUGAAUGCACGCACAUAUUCCGGGUAAUCACUUGCAGUGUGAAAGUGCAAAAUCUAGCGACCCGGGUACAAAUGCCGGGACACAUUAUCCGUGUAUUUGCCGGAAUCGCAGUGUGCUUCUAAUUUUCACCAUGCCAUCACAGUAAGCUACUUUUUU